rnacentral:rRNA from 1 species
AAGAGGGUUUGAUCCUGGCUCAGGUUGAACGCUGGCGGGAUGCUUUACAUGCAAGUCGAACGGCAGCACGGACUUCGGUCUACUGGUGGCAGGUGGCGACAGGUGAGUAAUGUAUCGGAACGUGCCUAGUAGCGGGGGAUAACUGCGCGGCGAAUAGUAAUACCGCAUACGCCCUUCGAGGAAAGCAGGGGACCUUCGGGCCUCCGCACUAUUAAACGGCCGAUAUCGGAUUAGCUAGUUGGUGGGAGUAACGGCUCACCAAGGCGACGAUCCGUAGCGCUGGUUUGAGAGGACGACCAAUACACUGGGACUGGAACACGGCCCAGACUCCUACGGGAGGCAGCAGUGGGGGUGCGGACAAUGGAAACCCUGGUCAGCGGCCAUCCGCGUGUGCGAUGAAGGCCUUCGGGGUUGUAAAGCACUUUUGGCGGAAAACGGCACGGGAUAAUACCCCGUGCAACUGACGGUACCUGCAGAGCCAGCGCAAGCUAACUGGUGCCAGCAGCCGCGGUAAUACGUAGGGUGCAAGCGUUAAUCGGAAUUACUGGGCGUAAAGCGUGCAGGCGGUUCGGAAAGAAAAGAUGUAGAAAUCAAGAGCUUAACUUUGGAACUUGCAUUUUUAACUACCGAGCUAGAGUGUGUCAGAGGGAGGUGGAAUUCCGCGAUAGCAGUGAAAUGCGUAGAUAUGCGGAGGAACACCGAUGGCGAAGGCAGCCUCCUGGGAUAACACUGACGCUCAUGCACGAAAGCGUGAGGCAAAUAAGUUGAAAUACCUGGUAGUCCACGCCCUAAACGAUGUCAACUAGCUGUUGGGGCCUUCGGGCGUAGUAGCGCAGCUAACGCGUGGUGCGGCCGCCUGGAGUACGGUCGCAAGAUUAGAACUCGAGAAUUGACGAGGGACCCGCACAAGCGGUGGAUGAUGUGGAUUAAUUCGAUGCAACACGCGAAAAACUACCUACCCUUGACAUGUCUGGAAUCCCGAAGAGAUUUGGGAGUGCUCGCAAGAGAACCGGAACACAGGUGCUGCAUGGCUGUCGUCAGCUCGUGUCGUGAGAUGUUGGGUUAAGUCCCGCAACGAGCGCAACCCUUGUCAUUAGUUGCUACGAAGGCGCUCGUGAGACUGCCGGUGACAAACCGGAGGAAGGUGGGGAUGACCGUCAAAGUCCUCAUGGCCCGCUAUGGGUAGGGCUUCACACGUCAUACAAUGGUCGGGACAGAGGGUCGCGACGCCCGCGCGAGGAGCCAAUCCCAGAAACCCGAUCGUAGUCCGGAUCGCAGUCUGCAACUCGACCGCGUGAAGUCGAUGCUUCAGCUAAUCGCGGAUCAGCAUGUCGCAGUGAAUACGUUCCCGGGUCUUGUACACCGCCCGUCACACCAUGGAGUGGGUUUACCGAAACCAGUUAGCCUAACCGUAAGGAGGGCGAUUACCACGGUAAGUUCAUGACUGGGGUGAAGUCGUAACAAGGUA